GCCGCCAGUUUUAUCGGUGAUGGCUCCCGGUGGUUCAGUCCGGGACCUGAAGGGAAUGAUCUCAGCACCUGAUUCAGGUUGAUUGGCAACUGGACCCUCAGGCAGCCUGCCAGUGUUUGUCAAAUGCCUGCCCUUCAGGCCGACCCUCCAAGACGAGCCCAGGAGCCUCUCCCACGCGAACCUCAGGCGGGGAGCUUCUCUCGCCCGGGACGCGGAGGGACCGCUGCACCUAUAGCUGCACCUGUAGCCCCAGAGUCCGUACGCUCCAUGGAGGAACUGAGUUCAGGAUGCUCUUACGUCGCCAUCUCAAAUCCCAACCUGAUGUUGAUAUUUGAAAGCUGAA